rnacentral:lncRNA from 1 species
GUUUCUCCAGGAAAUUCAAUCUCCUCCUUCAACUCUGGAUGUAACACCCUACAAUCGACCUCACUAUGACCCUGGAGUUUACAUCUUUUACAAUAUACUGGUAAUGAAUCGUAUUGAAUUUUCACUUUCACAAUUCUUUUUUCCUUGCUUGAUUCAUUUUUAAUUUCCAUGUGAACAAAUUUAGGUUUCUCCACUAACAAAUCCAGUUGGAUCUUCACCCUGGCACAACUUGGGUGAGUUUUGUUCACAGUUGCUAAAUCCAGAUGGAGAGGCUUUCCCACAGCUGCUGCCAAUGAGAACAAAGCUUCUUUGACAAAAAAGGUGGGGAGGAGGUCUGGAAAUGAGAUCCACACAGUUGUUUGUGAGGUUUCUUUAUUUAGUUUGAACUUUGCAUCAUAAAUGAAGGGACGCAUCUGAUAUGAAGCACCAUCCUUUGCAGUGAUGUAAUAAGCAUUCUUAGACAUAAUAUUAAUGAAAUCUUCUUCUAGAUCAAAUCUCAUUAAGAUAUGUCUAUUUCUCAGAAAACCAAUCUUACAUUCACCUUUAAUCCCACACUGCUUAGGGAUUAAAUCCCUUAAUUCUGAUAAUUCAGGCUAGCCAUAAGAGAAUUUUCCAACAAUAGCGUAUUGCAAGUUUUCGAUUAUGUUCAUUCUGUUGACUUCUUGCUCCGUCCAUUUGACUACUGGAAUUCCAUCUAUUAGACCUACUUUCUUUAUUGGGAUGGGAUCGACUACAGUCGUUGUCUUUGUAACUUUAUUCAAAUAACCAUUAGGUUUGAUGAUCGCUGCAUAGGAGGUGGCUGGAGGAGAGAUGUUUGGAAAGAUUGGAUUUGAGAGUUGGGAUAUGUUAGUUGCUGAGGGUAAUGGUGGAAAAUCAGAAUGGUCAGCCAGCGGAGGCGGCUGACCAUCUACCGGAAUCAUGGAGGGAUGGUUAAUUGGAGGAGUGUUAUAUAUGGCAUUUCAAGAAAUUUACAACUUUUGGCCACUGUUACCCUUGGAUACAGGGAAUACCGCAAGAAUGGCCACUAUUGGUGGAUCUACUUCAAAAUUAUAGACCGGCAGUGAGAACUACCUAGGUUUUUUGGAAAUUUCCUAGCAAAAACUGGUUCAAAUGUUAUUCGGACGGGUCUUCUAAGGGUAAUCCUGGUCCAAGUUCAAUAGCUUUCUAUGUUAGAAACCAUGAGGGUGACAUACAGAUUGCUUUGUGUAAGCAAAUAGCAGACACCACUAGUUUAUUUUCAGAAGCUCUGUCUAUGAAAGAGGGUUGUGAUUACUGUUUUGACCACGGUUUUUCAUCACUCAUUCUAGAAAUGGAUUCCUUAGCACUCAUGAAGAUAGUGACAAGAGAAUGGGAAUGUCCAUGGAAAAUUGUGAUGUUAAUCAAGAGAAUAAGAAACUACAUGAAGGGAGGACAAUUGCAGAUUACUCAUACUCUCAGAGAAGGAAAUGCCUUGGCAGAUUUUUUAACUAACAAGUGUUUUAGUUUUGCAGGUACACAAGCUUAUAAAUCAUUUGCAGAAUUACCACAAGAGGCAAAAGGCAUCGCAAUCUUAGACAAGCAACAAGUUCCACAAUUAAGAAUCAAGAGGAUGAAGAAAAAAGCUACAGAUUAACAACACAGUCGGAAUAAAGCAUCAAAAGAGAGUACUUCGCAUUUAAGGAGAGUUUCAUUUAGUGAAAAGUAAUGCAGCAGCUACAAAAAAUUCAAACAGAUUUGAGCUCAAACACCCGAAAAACAAUAAGUACAGCUUGGAGAUAGCUCCAAUCGAAUUUGAAUACACAGCACCUGGUGAGAGUUUUAAGGUGACUUGAGUUGUAUUUGGUUCAAAGCAGCUUAUUUUUUUUGACUGUUUUGAAGCUCAAGAUUAAUCUACAGAGAGGAACAACAAGAUAUCUCAGAAAUGAUGGAAGAUUAUUUGAUUAGAUGUGGUUGUCGAAGACACCGGAACAACAAACAGAUUGAAAGGAGAUGUGAAGAAGAAGAAGAACAGUACACUUUCCAAUUUCCCUGUUUUGCCUUUAGGAUUAGAAAGUCUUUUGACUUCCCUAAUUUUCUUACUGCAAUUGGACUUGGGUCUUGUCUGACCUAAGUAUAUUUGUACAAGCUUUAACAUUUUGAUUUAAUAAAUGGCCCAAAAGGCCGAUCUUUGACUUAAAAAGAAAAAAAAAAGUACAUUGUUUUCCUUA